rnacentral:rRNA from 1 species
GACGAACGCUGGCGGCGUGCCUAAUACAUGCAAGUCGAGCGAAGCGGCGGAUGGGUGAGUAACGCGUGGGCAACCUGCCCUUAAGUCUGGAAUACCAUAUGGAAACAGAUGCUCAUACCGGAUACUAAAGGAUGGACCUGCGAUGCAUUAGCUAGUUGGUAAGGUAACGGCUUACCAAGGCGAUGAUGCAUAGCCGGGUUGAGAGGCUGAUCGGCCACAUUGGGACUGAGACACGGUCCAGACUCCUACGUGAGGCAGCAGUGGGGAAUAUUGCGCAAUGGGCGCAAGCCUGAUACAGCCAUGCCGCGUGUGUGAAGAAGGCCUUCGGGUUGUAAAGUACUUUCAGCGGGGAGGCGUUACUCGCAGAAGAAGCAUCGGCUAACUCCGUGCCAGCAGCCGCGGUAAUAC